rnacentral:rRNA from 1 species
CAGAGGGGUGCAAGCGUUAAUCGGGAAUUACUGGGGCGUAAAAGCGAGCGUAGGUGGCUUGAUAAGUCAGAUGUGAAAUCCCCCGGGGCUUAACCUGGGGAACUGCAUCUGAAACUGUUAGGCUAGAGUAGGUGAGAGGGAGGUAGAAUUUCAGGUGUAGCGGUGAAAUGCGUAGAGAUCUGAAGGAAUACCGAUGGCGAAGGCAGCCUCCUGGCAUCAUACUGACACUGAGGCUCGAAAAGCGUGGGUAGCAAACAGGAUU